UACGAAGGGGGCUAGCGUUGUUCGGAAUCAUUGGGCGUAAAGCGGGUGUAGGUGGCUUUGUAAGUCAGGAGUGAAAUCCCCGAGCUUAACUCGGGAAGUGCUUUUGAAACUGCAGAGCUUGAAUGUGGGAGAGGAUCGUGGAAUUCCAGGUGUAGUGGUGAAAUUCGUAGAUAUUCGCAAGAACACCAGUGGCGAAGGCGGCUCACUGGCCCGGUACUGACGCUGAGGUGCGAAGCGUGGGGAGCAAACAGG
rnacentral:rRNA from 1 species